GACAGAGGCCUCAAGCGUUAGGCGGAAUCACUGGGCUUAAAGCGCGUGUAGGCGGAUCGUUAAGUGUCUUGUGAAAUCCCACGGCUCACCCGUGGAACUGCUGGGCAUACUGGCGAUCUUGGGCCAACUAGGGGCAACUGGAACAAGCGGUGGAGCGGUGAAAUGCGUAGAUAUCGCUUGGAACGCCGAAGGUGAAAACAGGUUGCUGGGGUUGUGCCGACGCUGAGACACGAAAGCCAGGGGAGCAAACAGG
rnacentral:rRNA from 1 species